GACUCAAAACUGAUCGAACCAUGAGCGCGUUGAAGAGUGCUAUAAAAGGUCUUGAAGGACCGAAAUCACGUAUAUGGCAAAAUAUAGGAAUGGCUUGUGGCUAGGGGUUAAAGGCCAUCCAAGAUAUUUUG
rnacentral:rRNA from 1 species